rnacentral:rRNA from 1 species
UACGUAGGGGGCAAGCGUUAUCCGGAUUUACUGGGUGUAAAGGGAGCGUAGGCGGCUUAGUAAGUCAGAAGUGAAAGCCCGCAGCUCAACUGCGGGACUGCUUUUGAAACUGCCAAGCUAGAGUGUCGGAGAGGUAAGUGGAAUUCCUAGUGUAGCGGUGAAAUGCGUAGAUAUCACGCAGAACCCCGAUUGCGAAGGCAGCGUACCGGCGCCCAACUGACGCUGAAGCACGAAAGCGUGGGUAUCGAACAGG